GUAUUCUGCACGGACUGCUGGGCAGCACUAGCACUCUGGAGAAGGUCUGCCGCUGUCUGCACUUUCCUGGUUCUAUGCAGGCAGAUGAGUGUCACAGCUGUAACUGAGGCACAGAGCAGUACACACAGUGGAGCCGAUUUCCGCGAUGGCGAGAGGGGGCACCGGAGGUGACAACAAUAACAAGACUGUCCUUCGGACAAGUUUUAGGUAAGAAAAUAUUUAUGCCCUGAUUCUUGUAUUUCUGCACUUUGUGUCUGCAACAUUGGGAUAGAAAGCAACUCUGGAUAGGGAAAUAUCUUUGUGAGGGUAUCAUCUGUGCUGUCACUUGCCUGCAAACCUGUGUUCUCCGGGCUUUGUGUUACUGGAAUCGUCGGAGGUGAAGUGUGAGCGGAGCUGAGUGGAAGGGUGAGCUGCUUUUUGUGUCUGUCUGGUGAUAUUCAGCACGCUGUUUAAAUUUAUAUCUGGAAAAAAAUUCUGUUUGAUGAUAGUUAGCAAUGUUUUGUGCAACGUAGAAGAGCAUAUGGCCAUGCAGAAUUCAAGGGAUGCUCUUUCAUUCUUAAUUUGUAAUUAUUUUUACACUCAACUGUACUGAGGUCAGAGAGUUUCAAAAAUUAAUGAGAUUCCCUGUGGAGUUCAAAUAGUAAUAUCUACGUGAGCUGUCACAAAAAGAUAAGAUUAUGAUGGUAUGUUUUCAACAUAGAUUUAACUGUCUUAUUUGGAACAUACUCCAUUUGAAAUAUAUAUGAAAUGUACAAUAGUUUAUGGAAGCCUAUAUGUUUUUGGAAAUUAGUUGGUUUUUUUUAAUGAUGAGGAGAAAUUGACUCAAAAUUAGACUGUAGAGGAUGAACACUUUGUGUAGAGAUAUUACUAAAACUUAAUAGACAUUGUUAUGGCAAUAGAGAAUAUCUUAUACUUUCGAGGAAAUAAGAAAUAAUGAAUGAGUCGCACGCUAAAAAGAAAUCUGCAAAUGUGUUUUCAUUUCAAGUAAUACAAAAAAACUCAGCAGAUAUUUAUAGUGAAACAUUGCUGGCAUGAACAAAGAAGCAAGUGUACACAUAGAUGAGAAUUCUUUGUCACAAAAAUGAGUCCAGGACAUCGAUUUAGGAGGUUAAGUGAUUUUUAUGUUCUUAGUGCCCCACAAAAGGGAGUCUAUUGGGAUGAGUCCAGACAUUUAAAAAUGUACCAAAAACUUUCAUUUCCCACAAUUUAAAAGCAUUGUUUAUGUUCCUGAUACAACACAUUGUUUAAAUGAGGGGGACCGAAAAGCAGUCUGAAUAUGCAGUAAUCGGGGCUAAAGAUGGUUUUUAUCCCCAGGUCCCCAUUUACAAGAUCCAUUCGGAGCUUCCUGUGAUAUAUUGUUAUGUAAAUACUGUUCAGCCAGGGAAAGCAGUACUAUGGAGAUUCAAUUUACUUUGAAAGUUGUUCAUUAUAGCAGGGAUGAAUGUUAUUUAUUUGAUGUGAUUCAAAGGCUGGAAAUGACUUUUUCAUUGUGGCACCUUUUGUAAUGGGUGCAGGGUGAUCUAAUCUUUUUAAUUUUGGCUUUCACACCAGUGGAGAUGAAAAGAGAUCUGAACUCAUUUAUCGGUUGCUAGGUCCUUCUGGAGGCCCAAGUCCUGUUGGUGGUUGCUAUGGCCAGUCUGACCUCAAUCUCCGUGGUUUUGGGGACUUAGCAGUCUUUUUUUCUUAUUGAGGAGCAUGUACCUUGAUUUAUGUCCAAAAUCGUGGCUGAACGUCUUUGUCUGCAAGUGAUAAAUGGUGCCGAGCAAUUCAUCAGUUCUUACAAGUAAACACUGCUGUCCCACUAAAAAUAUGUUUUGUUCUGAGUUAAUGGUAUGGAACAAGGCAGCCUCCACAAACAGCUAUCUUUUAUUGUGGAGGGGCCACUGAAACUUGGAGCAAAGUGGAGGAGAUUGGCAUUCAUUUUCUUGUACAUUAGCAUUUCAUUUGUGAUUCGGAUGAUGCAGCUCUAGGUGGAUUGACUAUGAAAGGGUGAGCCUUCCAUCUCCUUACCUUCUCUCUAGUUGGGGUGCCUGUGAAACCGGCAGGCUCUCUCCAAAUGCCUGGAUUCUGCUGGGGGAGUAAGAAGUCAGGAGUAGUUUGUCUGAUGGUAUUGGGAUCUGCUUUGCAAUUGCCAAGCGCUAAGGCACAAGCUGGCAGAUGUGCUGCGGCUCUGCUACGGGCGGCUCUGUCGCCUUCAGUCGCAGGCUGGUUCUUUGGGGGAAAGUUGUAUCCAAUAUUGGUGACUCCCGGGAAUAGUCUGUUUGUGUGCUACUUAAUGGUCUCUAGGCUUCCUUGUCUUGUAGAACCUUGUUAGAAAGGAGCCUUGGUGAUUAAGAGGCUAUGGAGUACACAGCCUUGCUUAGCAGAUGAGCCCUUAUCCAUUUCCCGUUUCCUUAAAAACGGCUAAUUGAUGGAUGCUGCAGAAAACAUGCACUCUGCUAAUAAGAUGCUGAUGACAAAAUAGGUAUCAGGAAAGGCAUUUACUGCUUAUGAGCACCAUCAGCUUUCUUUCGAGUGAGAUUGUGGCUUUGUAGUAAAGUUUUUUUUUAAGUAAUAUGCUAAUAGUUUUAUUCUAAAUCGGCCAGCGCUGAAUAUCUUCAGGAAAAUGGGUUCCAUGAGAAGUGACAUCCUCCUCGAAUCAAAAGAUUCUCAGGAUGAUGGAGUGAGUGAUGGAAUAGGUUGCCAACUGUAGUUACUCCACUCAGCACAGAAUGGCUGCGGGGAAAUAUAAUCAGACAUGCCCAAAGAAGUCUGCUUAGGGUGAAACAAAUACCUUUGAGGUUUAAAUC
rnacentral:lncRNA from 1 species